rnacentral:rRNA from 1 species
UACGAGGGGUGCAAGCGUUGCUCGGAAUUAUUGGGCGUAAAGGGCAAGUAGGUGGUCUCAUUUGUCUGGGGUGAAAGCCUUGAGCUUAACUCAAGAAGUGCCCCAGAAACGGUGAGACUCGAGUACUGGAGAGGGUCGUGGAAUUCUCGGUGUAGAGGUGAAAUUCGUAGAUAUCGAGAGGAACACCUGCGGCGAAGGCGGGUUGCUGGGCUGAUACUGACGCUGAGGCGCGAAAGCGUGGGGAGCGAACAGG